UACAGAGGUCUCAAGCGUUGUUCGGAUUCAUUGGGCGUAAAGGGUGCGUAGGCGGCGCGGUAAGUCGGGUGUGAAAUCUCGGAGCUUAACUCCGAAACUGCAUUCGAUACUGCCGUGCUUGAGGACUGGAGAGGAGACUGGAAUUUACGGUGUAGCGGUGAAAUGCGUAGAUAUCUGGAGGAACACCGGUGGCGAAGGCGACGUCCUGGACCGGUAUUGACGCUGAGGCGCGAAAGCCAGGGGAGCAAACGGG
rnacentral:rRNA from 1 species